rnacentral:lncRNA from 12 species
GGAAAUUACUGCUCAGGCUGAGGAGGAAGGAAAAGUGAUGGACAUAGGAGGCAGAGCAGAAGGAUUGAGAGAUUCCUUUGGACCAAGUGAGCCAGCAGAGGACACAGAUCACCAGCUGCUACAGCAGAGUGCUACAGCAGAGAUCCCCACGACAUGCUGAGGAUAGGCUUCAAAUGCAUCCAACAUUUUGCCACGAGAGAUGAUUUGUUCUGCAAGCAAGGAAGAAUGUUUUAUUGUUCUGGCACUUUGUCCCUUUGGAUAUGGUUUA